GGAACAGAAGAGAAGGGUUGAGCAAAAUCUCAUUUCCUAUGCACACUCUUUUCCUCUCGCCACCUGAAAUUCCUCGCACGAAUGUACCUCCGAUCCUUGUGUCUUGACACCUAUAUGCACCGUGAUUAUUAGAGACGAAUGCACAGUCCAGAAUGGGCUAAGCAUAUGUUUGGGCAUCGUUGAUGAAAGUUUACCUUGAGAUAUAUUGGUUAGCAAUGUCUUCAGGUGGCACAGUGAGUCCUGCAGAAGAAAAGAAGCCAAAGCUAGCGCUGGAUGUUCGGCUCAGGGCUCCACCGCUGCUCCGUUCGUCAAUCUGUCCGCUCCUUGAG